AUACGGAGGGAGCAAGCGUUAUUCGGAAUCACUGGGCGUAAAGGACGCGUAGGCGGGUUUGUAAGUCAGGUGUGAAAUCCUACAGCUCAACUGUAGAACUGCACUUGAAACUACAGACCUAGAGUAUGGAAGGGGCAGAUGGAAUUAGUGGUGUAGGGGUAAAAUCCGUAGAUAUCACUAGGAAUACCGAAAGCGAAGGCGAUCUGCUGGGACAUUACUGACGCUGGGGCGUGAAAGCGUGGGGAGCAAACAGGAUUAGAAACCCUAGUAGUCC
rnacentral:rRNA from 1 species